AUUGUAAUUACAACAGAAGGAGCUGAGAAGCGGCCUCUCCUGCAGCAGCCAUCCCACAACAAGCUCCUGCUGACACCGAUGGCAGGAGCACUGGGACAUUGCUGGGGCAUGCCAGAGAGGCUCUGAGGCCGUGAGAUGUCCUAGGACAGCACAGCAGCACUAAUUGGAAACACACCACUCUUACCAGGCACAGGUGAGCUCGUUAUUAGCUCACUGAUGCCUUUAUAAACCCUGUCCUGAGCCUUGGGUCUGCUCUGGCUGCUGGGGGUGCUGCUGGCCUGGGGGCUCUGGGACAGCUGGAUGGGGGUGAGGGCAGCCCAAGGGCUGUCUGAAGGUGUUGGGGUUCCUGCACUUCUGAUCCCUGAGUGUUGGCAUCCUCCGGCACUGACCCUGGAAGGGACCAGCUCUCAGCUGGGAGGAAUCAAGGAUUGGUCGGAUCAGGCCACUCUCGAGUUGUGUGUGGGAUAGGUGAGGUCAGGCCGCUGGUUGUGCUGUGCUACAAGGAACACAAAAUGUGGAUUUCUGCAUGGACGCCGGCCCAAACUGCCACGCACUUGUCAGAGGGUUUGCCGUGUAUCCUACAAAUGCAUGUGUUACACUUUCACCUUUGUGUGACUGCAUCCCGGAGUGUGCUGUGCACCCUGCCUGGGAAUUGCAAAGAGCAAACACCAGGCUGACACCAGGCUCUUCUGGUGUGCUUGCAAGUCAGGAUGAUGUUCAGGAAGCUGCAUGAGAAGUCAUCGUCCUAUCUCCUGUUCAGAGAGAUCAGCAAGAGCCAUGGAGGAGGAAGCCCUGGGCACCCUGGUCCUAUUGAUGCAGGGAGCCUCAUCCUUGCUGCGGUCCCUGUUCGGGUUCAACCUCUGUUUUCAGGCAACAACACUGAUUCUGGUUGAGCUGGCAGAGGAGAAGGGCAGCAGCACCAGUUGUCCUGGGAUGUAGCCCGUGGAAGAGCCAGGCUUUCCCCUCGGAAGACCCCAGACCUCUCAUGGAGGACCACAGUGGGACCAACCUGGGCACAGGGAGCCUGCUGCAGCACAGGGAGCAGUGUUUUGUGCAGGGCCAGUGCUGCCCUGGGCAGGGGACUCUUGUCCGGGGCCUUGCCAGGCGUGAUGGUGCUCCACCAUCCUCCAUGUCCCAAACAAGGCUGCGGCACCUGGUGAGCACUGCGUGAUGGUGCGGGAGGGAGCGUGGCUCGGGGACCCCUGCGGCCACACCACCAGCCAAGGGAGCUGCUGGCAGUGCAGUGUUGGUGGCUGCUGGCAUGCACUGCUCAGAGCAUAAUUGACUCAUUAGGACUAAUGAUAUGCUGCAGUCUCAACUGUAAAGAAAAUAUUAUGUUUGCACUUCAAAAGCUCACGCUGAGCUCUUUGUAAUGAGUAUUUUUUUUCUGAUUCUUUCAUGACUAUUUUUUUAAAUAAGUUUAGAGGGGACCAGUUCCUCUUUGUGCAGUUAGUAAAUUCAAGUGGUCAGAACACAACCAUCAAAAAAUCAGGAUCUUUUAACAACAGGAGUGAUGAUAAUGUACUAGCAUUCUGUGCAGUGACAGAUGCACUUUCAUUUAAAUGCACUGCUGAUGUGUUUUACUGAGCUGACUUCUCUCUAGUCCUGUGAUUCUAUCAGCUAGGAAUCCAGGCUCAUUAUGCAAUUGCAAGUCAUUUCUGGAUUUCAUUAAAUCAGCAAAUGGGCAUUAGCUAGAUAUUUACAUCAGCUCAACUUGUGAUAAUUUAUCCAAUUGGACAAUUAUUUUAGAAAAAAAAAUGUCCUGAAGGAUCAUGAUUCAUUUUCAUCUGCCUGGAUAACUGUCAGUACAACCCCUGCAGCUCAGCUGCAUGACCAAGGAAUCGCAGUCCUGCUGCAGGUGCCGGCAAUUGCCCUGCUGUCCAUCCAGGCUUUCACUGCUGCCACAUGGGAAAGGGGGAGUGUAAUGCUGGUGCAACUUAAUAUCAAUGGAUUUAGAUUGGGGAAUUAAAAAAAAAAAAAUUUGUGGCAAUUCACAUUUUAUUUAAAUAGAAGGGUCAAGUUUUUAAAUAAAACUACAGUGUUAAGGACCACUGAACACCUUGGGCUGUGUCCAGGACACAACAGGUUGUAUCCUGCAUGUGGCAGGAUGUAGGCUUAAUUCUCUUUCCGCUGUGACCUUGUGGUGUUGCUGAGGUGGUGUGGAGUAGGAAUCUGCAGCUUUGGGAUGUGAGCAGAUCACACCCCUUCCUAGCAGGUGCAGGUGAUGACUUCAGAGAGGUCCCUGAAAUAAUAGGGUUUGCUAUAAACUGGAAAUGCUCUGAGGGAGGAACAAGGUGUGGAAAGUGCAGAUGUGGGAUUUAACACCAUGUGUUGACAGCCUGAAAUUGCUGAUGAGCAAGCACCUGUUACACAAGAGAUAAGGUGCAGGAGCACAGAGGUGAACCUGGCCUGGUGAUGGAAGUCUGCCUGUGGGACCAUACCUGUUCUGCUCACAGAAAGGGCAGGCUGUGGGGCUGGGAGAAAUGAGCACCUGGAUUUAUUCGCUGUUGAAGUCAGAAGUCCCUCUGGCUGCACCUGAGCUUGGACUGCUGUUUCCUUCUCCUUUUCUAAUCCUCUCAUAACCAGUUUCAUAUCCAGAUUUAAUUUCAUGUACUUGCAAAGUCUGACUCAGCAAUAAAUAUUAUCAGCUUCCAUUUAAACCUGCAGAAAACUUGAGAGGAAAAAAAGUCAACCUUCCCAGAACAAACAUUAAAUAAGCCCUUCAUUUUGCUGAAUCAGGCCCUGAGUGUGCCUGGACCCUUAUUGUUUUGAAACUUAAGAUGACCCACAACCGAUGAAAUAGAUAAAAGCACACGAUUCAUUGGAUAUAAUAAAAUUCCUCAGGCAGUAGUGCUGAGUGGGAAAAGCUGCAGAUGUAUUGAUAUUUGGGAUAAAGUUUAUUAAAAAUUUAGCUUUAAAGGAAAUCUAAGUAAAAUAUGUUCCUCUGGUAAAGCCUCGCUCAUAACGCCUCCAAGUAUACCAAGCCUCUUAAAGGCUGUGAGCAGUGUCUCCUCCUACAGCUUCUAUCCCCAAGAAUGAUUUUUCUUUUUACUGACUUCGCAGCUUUUAAAAAAGCAGUUACUACUGAUAUUUUGUUCCUGCCUGUUUUCCAGAUACAGCCUUGUAUUUUUAACAACAUACAGCUAGUAACUUACUAAGUUUACAGAUUCCACGAUGAAAUACUUGAGUUCAGAGGAAACAGCAAGUUGUACAGCCAGCAGUGUCAAGCAUCCUUAAAGGUGGGGAUGAUCCACCCACACCAGCAGCCCCACUGCAAGAGGAGGGACUGGGAGCGCUGCUGCUCAGGUUGGCAAGUCUGAGUCCUGCAGAGAAAGAGAAUGUGGAAAUCCUGCUCAGACUGCCCUGCCUCCAGCUAUACAAAUUGAGACAGUGAUUCACCUGCUUGCUUCCAGCACGGUGGUCCCUAGAGAAGGAGAUACCUCUCUAGGACCUGAGCUAUAAAGAACAGGGAUUUAUAGAUCAGUAUCAGCAGACAUGAGUAAUACCUGGAAGCAAAAUUCUCCGCGCUAUACUUCUACUGCAUGCACAGACUGCGAGCAGAGCUAAAGCACUGUUUUGCUUUGAUUAGAGUGGAGGACAGGAGUGGGGACUCUGAGCUGCAUUCAGCUCCAGGCCACUGACUUGCUAGGAAUUUUGGAUAAGUCAUUUAAUCCCCAUCUUAGUUUCCUCAUCUGUAAAGCCUGGGGAAUAAAAUUUUGCUUUUUGGCUGGAGCUCAGGCUGAAAGGAAAUGUAACUACAAGAAUACUGUUCCAUGCUCAGAUUUUAACAGAUUUGCUUGUGCCCUGAAGUUGUGUGAGUGAACGCAGCAGAGGGCUCUGGGAGGGCACUGGUGUUGCCUGCUGCUGUGCCCAUGCUGCUGCCAUGGCUCUCGUCCUUUGUCUAUGCCUCACCUUGAGUGUCCCCAGGGACAGCUGCAGUCCUUGCUGUGUCCCUGCUUAUGUAAGGAGGCGACGCUGUGCUUGCAGGCAUGCACCAGCUCUGCAUUGUGGCACUCAGAGCUAUACAGCCAAACCAUGCAGUUACAGCUCUUCAUGGGGCACUUACACAUUUCAACUAGCAAUAAUGUUUUUAUUUCCAAUUUAUUGAAAUUAAUUGUUGACAUUAGCUUUUCUUAAGUGUACAUACACUAUACUGUACAGCUGAAUUACAGUUUGUGCUAGGACCAGGGAAAUGACCUAACUGGUUACAGAACACAAGGCCCUAUGCAGUGAAUGUGGUGAACUUCUGACCCUUUAGACAUAGCUGCUGCCACUCACAGUCCCAGUGACAGAAAGAUGACAUCGCAGUACGUAUUGCUUCCACUUUCUGUAUUUCAUAUUCUCCUUAAUUACAACUCUAUUAUACAUAUAUUUCAGUAUUACAGUUCUUAAUCCUUUAUGGCUGCAUUAUUAAAAAAAAUUACAUUACUAAAGUGCUGUUUCAGAAAACAUUUUUUAGGUUGAAAAGCUGCCCGGAUGACGGCAGCUCCGCUGGGGGAGCUCCCAGCCCCGGUACGCCCCGCACGGGCAGCGCACCCCACCCUGCACUGCUGUCAGCGUGCCUGCCUUGAUAAAGAAAUGCUCUUGGCCUAAUUAUCUGCUUGGUCCCUGCCAGGCCUGUUGUCACCCAGAGCCAUCGUUCCUUCCCUUCUGCCUGCCCAAGCACCCGCACCCUCUCGCCCGCUGUGCAGGGCUGGGCGAGGAGCGGGGUGCUGCAGGGGGUCC